CCUACGUGUGGCAGCAGUGAGGAAUAUUGGUCAAUGGGCGCGAGCCUGAACCAGCCAAGUAGCGUGAAGGAUGCCUGCCCUACGGGUUGUAAACUUCUUUUAUAAAGGAAUAAAGUGAGGCACGUGUGCCUUUUUGUAUGUACUUUAUGAAUACGGAUCGGCUAACUACGUGCCAACAGCCGCGGUAAUACGGAGGAUCCGAGCGUUAUCCGGAUGUAUUGGGUUGAAAGGGAGAGUAGAUGGGUUGUUAAGUCAGUUGUGAAAGUUUGCGGCUCAAGCGUAAAAUUGCAAUUGAUACUGGCAGUCUUGAGUACAGGUGAGGUAGGCGGAAUUCGUGGUGUAGCGGUGAAAUGCUUAGAUAUCACGAAGAACUCCGAUUGCGAAGGCAGCUUACUAAACUGCCACUGACAUUGAUGCUCGAAAGUGUGGGUAUCAAACAGGAUUAGAUACCCCAGUAGUC
rnacentral:rRNA from 1 species